rnacentral:rRNA from 1 species
GAAGGCAGCUACCUGGUGACAGGAUGCUAAUCCCAAAAGCCUCUCUCAGUUCGGAUCGAAGUCUGCAACCCGACUUCGUGAAGCUGGAUUCGCUAGUAAUCGCGCAUCAGCCACGGCGCGGUGAAUACGUUCCCGGGCCUUGUACACACCGCCCGUCAAGCCAUGGGAGCCGGGGGUACCUGAAGUACGUAACCGCAAGGAGCGUCCUAGGGUAAAACUGGUGACUGGGGCUAAGUCGUAACAAGGUACC